rnacentral:tRNA from 1 species
CGGGGUGUGGCGCAGUCGGCAAGCGCGCUGCGUUUGGGACGCAGAGGUCGUCGGUUCAAGUCCGACCACCCCGACCU